AGAAGCAUUGUUAAGGAACUCGGCAAAAUGACCCCGUAACUUCGGGAGAAGGGGUGCCCUGUGAAAGCAGGGCCGCAGAGAAUAGGCUCAAGCAACUGUUUAGCAAAAACACAGGUCUAUGCGAAACCGAAAGGUGAGGUAUAUGGGCUGACGCCUGCCCGGUGCUGGAAGGUUAAGAGGAGAGGUUAGCGCAAGCGAAGCUUUGAAUUUAAGCCCCAGUAAACGGCGGCCGUAACUAUAACGGUCCUAAGGUAGCGAAAUUCCUUGUCGGGUAAGUUCCGACCCGCACGAAAGGCGUAAUGAUUUGAGCGCUGUCUCGACAAUGCAUCCGGUGAAAUUGAAGUACCAGUGAAGAUGCUGGUUACCUGCGCCAGGACGGAAAGACCCCAUGGAGCUUUACUCUAGCUUGAUACUGGGGUUCGGUAUUGCAUGUACAGGAUAGGUGGGAGACUGAGAAGAUGUGUCGCCAGAUGCAUCAGAGUCGAUGUUGGGAUACCACCCCUGCAGUACUGGGCUUCUAACCUGCAGCCGUGACCCGGCUGGGGGACAAUGUCUGGUGGGGAGUUUGACUGGGGCGGUCGCCUCCGAAAGGGUAUCGGAGGCGCUCAAAGGUUCCCUCAGAAUGGUUGGAAACCAUUCGAAGAGUGCAAAGGCAGAAGGGAGCUUGACUGCGACACCGACGGGUGGAGCAGGUACGAAAGUAGGACUUAGUGAUCCGGUGGUAUAAAGUGGGAUUGCCAUCGCUCAACGGAUAAAAGCUACCCUGGGGAUAACAGGCUUAUCACUCCCAAGAGUUCACAUCGACGGAGUGGUUUGGCACCUCGAUGUCGGCUCAUCGCAUCCUGGGGCUGUAGUAGGUCCCAAGGGUUGGGCUGUUCGCCCAUUAAAGCGGUACGCGAGCUGGGUUCAGAACGUCGUGAGACAGUUCGGUCCCUAUCCGGCGUGGGCGUAGGAUAUCUGAGAGGAGCUGUCCUUAGUACGAGAGGACCGGGAUGGACUGACCUCUGGUGCACCGGUUGCAUUGCCAAAUGCAUAGCCGGGUAGCCAAGUCGGGACGGGAUAAACGCUGAAGGCAUCUAAGCGUGAAGCCCCCCUCAAGAUGAGAUAUCCCAUAACAUAAGUUAGUAAGACCCCUUGAAGACGACGAGGUAGAUAGGCAGAAGGUGGAAGUGUGGUGACAUAUGGAGCUGAUCUGUACUAAUAGGUCGAGGGCUUAACCAA
rnacentral:rRNA from 1 species